UACGUAGGGCGCAAGCGUUGUCCGGAAUUAUUGGGCGUAAAGAGCUCGUAGGCGGUUUGUCGCGCCGGCUGUGAAAUCCUGGGGCUUAACUCCGGGCCUGCAGUCGAUACGGGCAGACUUGAGUAUGGUAGGGGAGACUGGAAUUCCUGGUGUAGCGGUGAAAUGCGCAGAUAUCAGGAGGAACACCGGUGGCGAAGGCGGAUCUCUGGGCCAUUACUGACGCUGAGGAGCGAAAGCGUGGGGAG
rnacentral:rRNA from 1 species